rnacentral:rRNA from 1 species
GCUCGAUUACCAUUGUUUGGACGACAACCAAUCUUGUCUGAGCUCAGAAUCCAAGCAGAUUUGAGUCUGGUUAGUAUUUGAAUGGAAGACUACCUGGGAAUAACCAGGUUGUUCUUAGCU